UACGGAGGGGGCUAGCGUUGUUCGGAAUUACUGGGCGUAAAGCGCACGUAGGCGGCUUUGCAAGUUAGGGGUGAAAGCCCGGAGCUCAACUCCGGAAUUGCCUUUAAGACUGCAUCGCUAGAACACGGGAGAGGUGAGUGGAAUUCCGAGUGUAGAGGUGAAAUUCGUAGAUAUUCGGAAGAACACCAGUGGCGAAGGCGGCUCACUGGACCGUUGUUGACGCUGAGGUGCGAAAGCGUGGGGAGCAAACAGG
rnacentral:rRNA from 1 species